CAACUACCUUAUAAUUUUUUAUCCUCUCAAGCGUCAUUGGAACUUACUAAAAUAAGAGUUGGCAACGAAUACGGGCUUAGCGUAGAAAGAUAGACUCUGUGUGGUGGUGGUGGAUCUCUAUCGAUAGGGGUGGAAGACGUCAAAUAACUUGAUUUAAAAAGAGAACACAGCUAUUUCAAUGUUUAUAGGGAAUAUGGCUCAGGGUCUGAUAUGGGCAACAGCCGAGGACUUGGCAAGGAAUAGAGGACGAGUCCUUUCUUUAUACCGUCAGAUAUUAAGAAGCCUCAAUUCCCCAAUACUUCCCAUGAACUUAGCAGCAAGAUUGGCCAAGAAAGCAGAGGCUCGUGCUAUCUUCAUGCUAAGCGCAGAAGAGGAAUCCCUUCACAACAUUGAGGACCUCAUUGAUACUGGAGAGUACGCUCUUUCCCUCUUAAGAAAAGGGGAAAUCCCUAAAUACAUCCAAUGAGUGCACCACUGGUUACUGAGCCUCUCCCAUACUAUGUUAUACACAUUUAAUGAUGCAUUCUUAUAUUUUUGUAGGACUAACCAUUUUGUUAGAGUGUAGUUUUUUGCCCGUUGGC